UACGAAGGGGGCUAGCGUUGUUCGGAUUUACUGGGCGUAAAGCGCACGUAGGCGGAUCGUUAAGUCGGGGGUGAAAUCCUGGAGCUCAACUCCAGAACUGCCUUCGAUACUGGCGAUCUUGAGUCCGGAAGAGGUGAGUGGAACUCCUAGUGUAGAGGUGGAAUUCGUAGAUAUUAGGAAGAACACCAGUGGCGAAGGCGGCUCACUGGUCCGGUACUGACGCUGAGGUGCGAAAGCGUGGGGAGCAACAGGGA
rnacentral:rRNA from 1 species